GACGUAGGGGGCGAGCGUUGUCCGGAAUUACUGGGCGUAAAGAGCACGUAGGCGGGUAAUUAAGUCAGAUGUGAAAGACCAGGGCCCAACCCUGGGGUUGCAUCUGAAACUGGUUAUCUUGAGGGCAGGAGAGGGCAGUGGAAUUCCUGGUGUAGCGGUGAAAUGCGUAGAAAUCAGGAGGAACACCAGUGGCGAAGGCGGCUGCCUGGACUGACCCUGACGCUGAGGUGCGAAAGCGUGGGUAGCAAACAGGAUUAGAUACC
rnacentral:rRNA from 1 species